rnacentral:lncRNA from 1 species
UUCCAAGGUAGCUGCUGCUUGUGCCCUCACACUUCUGGAGUUGCUGGCCUUGAGUGGGGUGGCCAGCACUGCAGCAACGACCGGCUGCUGACAUCCUGACCACAAAAAGAAAACAAAGAUCAGCAGGUGCAACUCACAAGAGCAAAACGCACUUGCAGGACCACAGAUGCGAAACUGGCAGGAAGAGUAUUUUGCAAUCGAGAGCCAGCAUUUCAGAACAAAAAUGGGAUCGUACUGUCACGAUCAAUUCGCAGGCCGCGACUAGACUGGCGCAAGGACACCGGGGUUCGGUCUCUGACUUCUCUCGGCGGCCCCUGUACUAGUGCAGAGCCAAAUACUGCCGAAGACACCAUACUUGCUCUGCCUGCCGGUCCCACAACACUCUAAAAAACACUCAUCGUGUUUCAAUUUGUUGAAUUUGCAAAAUUAUACAGCGAAACUUUAGAAUUUGAUACUUGCGGCUUGCAAGCGG